CACACCAGAAUCUGAAGACUGUGAGUUUCUCCUCUGUGUGUCUGUAUCUUGUAUUAUUAAGGGCCAUGCCAUUAACCCUACAACAGGUCUGUUGAACCGCUGAACAUUAUAUGGAAGGACACUUGAGGCACAAAGCAUUCUUUUGGGCAGUGUGCAAUGUGAUCAAAGACUCAUUCAUAACCUGAUUUUGGAUUCUGGAAUCAUCUGGCAGCUAGCAUCUAGAGUGUGGAAGAACAAGGAUAUCCAAACGUGAGUGAACUCAUCACAUAAUCAAAUAAAAUGAUAUUUGUCACGUGCGCCGAAUACAACAGGUGUAGAUCUUACAGUGAAAUGCUUACUUACAAGCCCUUAACCAACAAAGCAGUUUUAAGAAAAAUACCCCCCAAAAAUUAAAAAUAGAAAUAAAAGUAAUAAAUAAUUAAAGAGCAGCAGUAAAAUAACAAUAGCGAGGCUAUAUACAGGAGUCAAUGUGCGGGGGCACCGGUUAGUCAAGGUAAUAGGUACAUGUAGGUAGAGUUAUUAAAGUGACUAUGAAUAGAUAAUAAACAGAGAGUAGCAACCAUUUGAUUAGAUGUUCAGGAGUCUUUUGGCUUGGGGGUAGAAGCUGUUUAGAAGCCUCUUGGACCGAGACUUGGUGCUCCGGUCCCGCUUGCCAUGCGGUAGCAAAGAGAACAGUGUAGAACGUUUUGAGGAUCUGAGGACACAUGCCAAAUCUUUUCAGUCUCCUGAGGGGGAAUAGGUUUUGUCGUGCCCUCUUCACAACUGUCUUGGUGUGCUUGGACCAUGUUAGUUUGUUGGUGAUGUGGACACCAAGGAACUUGAAGCUCUCAACCUGCUCCACUACAGCCCUGUCAAUGAGAAUGGGGGCAUGCUAGGUCCUCUUUUUCCUGUAGUCCACAAUCAUCUCCUUUGUCUUGAUCACGUCGAGGGAGUGGUUAGAGAGAAUACAGCAGACGGUUUGUGUUCAAAGAUGAUUGAUGACCUAUUUUAUGUGUCACGUAGUUAUGCCCAUAUAUGUACAUCCUGUCCUUCCGUUCUCACGCUAUCGAGUGAGUUCUUAUGUAACCUGAUAGUUCAUCUGUUUAUGGUAAAGCAUGUGUUUGCAUUAAAGUUGUCAAGAUGAUUGAUGUGUAGUGACCUUGUUGAACUAUGGAAUGUGUUUGAACAUUUUAAAGAGUAGAGUAGUGUCUCUUCUGUUUAUGAUGAUGUAUAUGAAACAGUAAUUUCCGGGGGGUAGGGUAUUGGUCAGUAUAAGUAAAGAGCUGUGAACACUACGAGCGACACGAAGCCUCGAGAGAGAUAAACCACUGAAGACUCUAAAGAAGAAAGAAAUAAAACAUGGCUCCUAGACCAAUUUUAGGUGUAUUGUGAUUUAACUACAAUGAAUGAAAUCCCUUUCUCUCUCUCUCUCUCUGUGUGUGUGUGUGUGUGUGUGUGUGUGUGUGUGUGUGUGUGUGUGUGUGUGUGUGUGUGUGUGUGUGUGUGUGUGUGUGUGUGUGUGUGUGUGUGUGUGUGUGUGUGUGUGUGUGGACAAGGAUCUGUAGCGGGGUUGUGUGUGGGAGGUCGUUCGGUUAGAAGCAGAGAAACAUGCUGAUAACAUUAUUUUCUAAGAAAGGAAUUAAAGAAGAAUUAUACAUGUAAACAUUUAAAGGAUAUAAAUGGCAUUUAUGUAUUCAUUUUUGAGUUUGCAACCCAAUGUGACACUUUGAAUACAUCACAGAAGACUGAAAUGUAACAUAACACAUAUUGUGUUUAUUGAGAUGUACACUGAGAUGCUCAUUUGGGCAAUAUUCCCCUCCAGUGAUUCCCCAACAUCUUGUCAACAUGGGACCCAAAAAUGGAGCAGAUAUCAUAUACCAACAUAUCUUUAUAGACAUGUAUCCAUAACAAGGCUUAGGAGGCCCUUAUAGUGUCCAAAAAUGUCUCUAAAAUGUCACAUAUUUUAAACAUCUUCAUUUUCAUGCAUACAACUUGUCAACAAGUAUUUUUAUGACCAAAUGCACAUUCUUUAGUGUAGACAUACAUUUUUUAUGAUUUCAUGACUGUUUGGUAGUAGAUCCCUGAAUGGUCAGAAAUCUGUUCAAAUAGAAGUAUGUUUGUAGCACAAAAUAUCUUACAGGUAGGGCCUCUUUCACUCUCUCAACAUGUAACAAG
rnacentral:lncRNA from 1 species